GACAGAUACGCGCGACACCAGCAUUCAGCAUUGGACCAAAUUGAAGAACAAAAUAUGAAAAAUGCGAUGAACGUUUUAUUCAUGUUAAGUGUCACAUUACGAUCCCGGAUAGGCGUAUUGGAAUUUAACCUGCUAAAACGGAAGUGAAUAAUCCGUUAACAUCUUUCACACUAACAGUGCUAUCAUAUCAGAGUUAUUUAGAUAAUCACAGAAAUAACAUCUUCUUUGUCUUUAAUCGCAAACAUGUACGAAAAAAUGAGUCCAAUGUACCUUGCUAAAAUUACUUCCCAAGCCAUAUAAUAUCUUCCGUGAUAGGCAGCAUAUAGCUUGUAUACUUGCUGCUUAAUGAAGGAAGAAAAAAAAGAGCGGUAGGAAACAAGGGAAGAACAGUGACGAUGAGGAAAAAAAACUUUGUGUGACGUAUACACGAAGGUGGAUGAUGAACAAGUGUUACGUCGCACGAAACCGCAUCGUGCAACGAGCGUAUAUCUCGUUGGUGCAUGCAACCGGCCAGUAUAGAAGGGAAAUAAUAUAUAACGAGCUGAGAGAGAGAGAUGGAGAGAAAUAAGUGAGAGGUUAAAUCUUAUGAGAAUCAAGGAGAAAAGUGUACAAACCUCGGUGUUUGGAUGCUCUCGCGCAUCUCACCAUAUCCGUACGCAGUUUCGUAAUUACAUUCGUGGGCGUUUACGUUUCUAUAUGACUGUUGUUUUUGCAUGCACUCAUGUAAGCGUGCAC